rnacentral:rRNA from 1 species
UACGUAGGGCGCAAGCGUUGUCCGGAAUUACUGGGCGUAAAGAGCUCGUAGGUGGUUUGUCGCGUUGUUCGUGAAAACUCACAGCUCAACUGUGGGCGUGCGGGCGAUACGGGCAGACUGGAGUACUGCAGGGGAGACUGGAAUUCCUGGUGUAGCGGUGGAAUGCGCAGAUAUCAGGAGGAACACCGGUGGCGAAGGCGGGUCUCUGGGCAGUAACUGACGCUGAGGAGCGAAAGCGUGGGGAGCGAACAGG